rnacentral:rRNA from 1 species
GAUGAACGCUGGCGGCGUGCCUAAUACAUGCAAGUCGAGCGAACAGACGAGGAGCUUGCUCCUCUGACGUUAGCGGCGGACGGGUGAGUCACACGUGGAUAACCUCCCUAUAAGACUGGGAUAACUUCGGGAAACCGGAGCUAAUACCGGAUAAUAUAUUGAACCGCAUGGUUCAAUAGUGAAAGACGGUUUUGCUGUCACUUAUAGAUGGAUCCGCGCCGCAUUGGCUAGUUGGUAAGGUAACGGCUUACCAAGGCAACGAUGCGUAGCCGACCUGAGAGGGUGAUCGGCCACACUGGAACUGAGACACGGUCCAGACUCCUACGGGAGGCAGCAGUAUGGAAUCUUCCGCAAUGGGCGAAAGCCUGACGGAGCAACGCCGCGUGAGUGAUGACGGUCUUCGGAUCGUAAAACUCUGUUAUUAGGGAAGAACAAAUGUGUAAGUAACUAUGCACGUCUUGACGGUACCUAAUCAGAAAGCCACGGCUAACUACGUG